UAAUUUCACCAUGAAGACUUCCGCCGCCCUCGUCCUUUCCGCCCUCAGCAUGGCCUCGGCCUUUGCACCA
rnacentral:ribozyme from 1 species